UCAAUUCAAUUCAAUUCAAUUCAAUUUUAUUUGUAUAGCGCCAAUUCAUAACAGAAGUUAUCUCAGGACACUUUUCAAAUAGAGCAGGUCUAGACCGAACUCUUUAAAACAUUAAUUACAGAGACCCAACAGUACCACCAUGAGCAAGCACUUAGCGACAAGGGCAAGGAAAAACUGCCUGUUAAAAGGCAGAAACCUAGGACAGAUCCUCCGGCUCUAGGUGGGUGGUCGUCUGUCUCGACCAGUUGGGGUGAGAGAGAGAGAGAGAGAGAGAGAGAGAGAGAGAGAGAGAGAGAGAGAGAGAGAGAGAGAGAGACAGACAGACAGACAGACAGGUGCACAGCAACAACAGUAUUGGCAAUGGCAGUCAAGCAGGACCAUGGCAGGAGGCUCCACCAGGAUCCAUGAGAACCUGCGAGACGAGAAAGCACAAGAACUCCGGGGAAGAAGUGGAGUUAGUAACAUGCAUUAAUGGGACAUGAAUGAGUGCAGAAAGAGAGAGGAAGGGAGGAGCUCAGUGCACCAUGGGAAAUCCCCCGAUAGUCUAGGCCUAUAGCAGCAUAACUAAGGGAUGGUUCAGGACUCACCUGAUCCAGCCCUAACUAUAAGCUUUAUCAAAGAGGAAUGUCUUAAGCCUACUCUUGAAUGUGGUGAGGGUGUCUGCCUCCCGAACCACAACUGGAAGCUGGUUCCACAGGAGAGGAGCUUGGUAACUGAAGGCUCUGGCUCCUGUUCUACUUUUAGAGACUAUAGGAACCACAAGAAGCCCAGCAUUCAGAGAACGUAGUGUUCUAGUGGGGUAAUAGGGUACUAUGAGCUCUUUAAGAUAUGAAGGGGCCUGACCAUGAAGAGCUUUAUAGGUGAGGAGAGUACAGGAGAGAUGUGAUCUCUUUUUCUAGUUCCUGUCAGUACUCGUGCUGCAGCGUUCUGAAUUAAUUGGAGCGUUUUAAUGGACUUAUUGGGGCAACCUGAUAAUAAAGAGUUGCAGUAAUCCAGCCUUGAAGUAACAAAUGCAUGGAUUAGUUUUUCUGCAUCUGUCUGUGAUAGUAUGUGUCUAAUUUUUCUAAUAUUACGUAAAUGAAAGAAGGCAGUCCUAGAGGUCUGCUUUAUGUGGGAGUUAAAUGACAAAUCCUGAUCAAAGAUAACUCCAAGAUUCCUGACAGUGGUGCUAGAGGCCAAGUUAAUGCCAUCUAGAGUGACUAUAUCUUUAGACAAUGAGUCUCUAAGGUUUUUGGGGCCAAGAACAAGAAUUUCGUUUUUUUCUGAGUUUAACAUCAGAAAAUUGCAGGUCAUCCAGGAUUUUAUGUCCUUAAGACAUGUUUGUAAUUUAGAUAAUUGAUUAAUUUCAUUGGGUUUGAUUGAUAGAUAUAACUGCGUAUCAUCUGCAUAACAGUGAAAGUUAAUGGAGUGAUUCCUAAUAAUGUUGCCUAAAGGGAGCAUAUAUAAAGUAAAUAGUAUUGGUCCAAGUACAGAACCUUGUGGAACUCCAUGACUAACUUUAGUAUUUAUGGAGGAUUCAUCGUUAACAUGUACAAACUGAGAACGAUCUGAUAAGUAUGACUUAAACCAGCUUAGGGCAGUUCCUUUAAUGCCAAUUUGAUGCUCAAGUCUCUGUAAAAGAAUAUCAUGGUCAAUGGUGUCAAAUGCAGCACUAAGAUCUAAUAAUACAAGUACAGAGACAAGUCCAUUGUCAGAAGCAAUCAGAAGGUCAUUAUUAACUUUAACCAGAGCUGUCUCUGUGCUAUGAUGAACUCUAAAUCCUGACUGAAAAUCCUCAAAUAAACUAUUGUUAUGUAGAAAGUCACACAA